rnacentral:rRNA from 1 species
GGGUGUGUAAGCAUAGCGAUAUGUUGAGCUAACCAAUACUAAUGAACCGUGAGGCUUAACCUGACAACACCGAAGGUGUUUUAG